ACAUCUGCUUUGGUUGCCUAACGAGGGGACAUAUGAGCAAAACUUGUAAAAGAAGAAUGACUUGCCAAUACUGUCCCUAGUAUACUACUCAUUGACACAUCUGCAAAGAAUGAACCGAAGGAGAGAGGGACCAAUCAGACAAAAGGAUUGAUCAGUGGAACUCCUGUAUCAUUAGAAAAGGAGGAGGAUGUUGGCAAUAGUACCAGUACAAGUAAAAGCUUCCAAAGGCAGCAAAACAAUACUAACCUAUGCAUUUCUUGACCCUGGCAGCACAGCAACAUUCUGGAGACUCUAAUGAGACAACUCAAUGAGACAGGAAGGAAGACUUAAGUGCUUCUGCAAACAAUGGGUCAAAGGAAACCAGUCUGGCUUUCUGGAAGAGAUGGGUCAAGGAAUACCUUCCAAUCAUGCAACAGCGAAAUAAGUGGAAUGAAAUGAAAAGGAACUUUCUACCCGGAGACCUCGUUGUUAUUGUGGAUGAUUCGGCUCCUAGAAACUCCUGGGUUCUAGAAACUCCUGGGUUCUAGGACGGUGCCAGGAAGUAAACUACUCGUCCUAGUUAAAACAAGAACAAUUGUUCUACAGAGACCUAUCAAGAAGCUCUGAGUUUGAAAAGGAUUAUAUGAACUUAAAGAUGACCUUUAUCUAUGGACUCUGAGCAACAUUUUUAAAUUGAAAAAGUACAUGAGGUCGGCCGCCCCCCCACUCAGGUCACAAUCUUUGCUCUCCUGGAAAGGGAACUGGAUUCCUGCCAGUCGGAUCAGCAAGAAAUUG